rnacentral:tRNA from 1 species
GGGAAUGUAGCUUAGUGGUAGAGCACUUACCUAGCAUGUAUGAAGCCCUGGUUUCAAUCUCCAGUACUGCAA